AGUACGACUUGUCCUUUACCGAUUACACCGCUGGGGUUCUCGACGGAGAAAAACUAAGCUUUCGUGAAACAAAAUGCAAGGAACUAAUGAACCUCCGACUAUUUCGGGCAGAUUGUUGUACAAGAAUCAAUGGACAAAACUUCUGUAUAGAUGGAAGGGAAGUGUCACCACGUUCGGGAUCACCGGAGCUCUGGGUGUGGUGUGGCUGUUUGACGUCCAGUUGUCCGAUUAUCUUAAAUAUGUUCCAAUCUUCAAAAAACGAUUCGGGGAUCAACAUUAACGAAAGCCCUGCAAUAAUGCUGUCCUGUGUUAGUACAUAAUCAACUUAUACAAAGACCAGUGUCAUACAAAGAAGAAUAGAGUGAUGUUAUGAAAUGUGAAAUGUUGUAAAUAAAAACUGUUUGCUGGU